rnacentral:rRNA from 1 species
UACGGAGGGAGCUAGCGUUGUUCGGAAUUACUGGGCGUAAAGCGCACGUAGGCGGAUACUUAAGUCAGGGGUGAAAUCCCGGGGCUCAACCCCGGAACUGCCUUUGAUACUGGGUAUCUCGAGUCCGGAAGAGGUGAGUGGAAUUCCGAGUGUAGAGGUGAAAUUCGUAGAUAUUCGGAGGAACACCAGUGGCGAAGGCGGCUCACUGGUCCGGUACUGACGCUGAGGUGCGAAAGCGUGGGGAGCAAACAGG